rnacentral:lncRNA from 1 species
UGUGUAUAUAUAUGUAUGUAUAUAUACACACCCACAUUUUAGAGUGACUAAAUCAAGCUAUUUAGCUCAUGUGUUACCUCACAUACUUGUCAUUUUUGCAUUUUUGGUGGCGAACUGGAAAGCUAUUUUUAUAGGCCUUUUGUUCAUACCCUAUUGAAAUGAUCACUAAUGCUGAUUUAGAGAAAUCUGAAUUACUGAGAUUAUAUAUGGUAGGUAAGAAGUGGAGGACAGGGCCACCGUUUUUAAAUGACUCAUCCUCCUGAGUGACAGUAGCUGUGAUUAAAUAAACCUCCCUACCUAGCAAAAUCAUCAAAUGUGGUGACCACAUUAACUUUGGUAGAGGACAGCUUCUGAAAGACCUUUGCUUCCUAAAGGAAUACAUAUUAAUGGUCUCUGAAAUUUUAAAGUAUUUUAAGCCUGUAGGAUUAAAGGUAAAUGGACAGCUAAAUGUGUGUUUUCAGGUGAAAUGACAGUAAAUCCUUGUGCUCCAGCUCAUAAACUGAACCUUCUAGGGGCCUAGUAUGGUCCUGCUAAAUAAAUCUCUUGCUCAUUCUGUAAUUAGCAAUGACUACAACAACUUUUAUUUCUCCAUUUAACAUUUGUGAGAUAGCUUCAGUCUGUUUCAUUUCAUCAUUCAUCUUUUUGGAAAUCUCGCUGCUGCCACAACAGCCAUGCAUAUAAAUUCCUCACCAUGCCUCUGCAAAUCAAACAAAAUGUACUUUAAGCCUGCCUCACAAUCAAAGGCUCUAUGUGAUUUAUUUCCAAACGGUUCUUAGAGCUGGGCCUAAAUGUGACACAGCUACAUGCAAAAGCACAAUGUUUUGGACAGGGUGAGAGUCCACUUAGAGAGAGAGAGACCUAGCAUAGCACAAGACACACAGUAGCCAUUCUGCAUUCUGUAAAUUUGUUUUCGAAUGAGAUCUAUGUAGAGAAAUUUACCCCACUCUGUCUUCCUUGUCUAAAGGAGGAGGCUUUUCAUCCUUUUCGAGAGACAUUUCCAGGCAAGUUCAGGUGGACUGUCAGCAGGUCAGGUUCACAUCUAGUCAUGUCUUGAUCACCCCCGUGCAUCCCUAGCUAGGGGGAAGCUUAUAGAAUCAGAGGUCCCUCAUAAGGCACAAUGAAUUACAGGAUGCCACAAGCAUAUUUGUCUAUGAAAAUCUUCACCAGGUGGAAAUGGCCAAAACAAAGAUCACCAACCCCCAGGGGAAAGGGUUCAACCUCUGCUGAGCUUCCGAAAUACGUCAAGCCCUGCAACCAGACACAGGCCCAUAAGGACAGGACCUGAGUGAAACCAAGCAGUUUCUGGGGAAGGAAAUAUUUUCAUUGACAUUUUUGGGUUACUGUUGCACUACCACUAGUUGUCUCGGAGCUCUAGGAAAAUGGUGAUCAUUUUUCACAGGCUGCUAGUUUUUGUGAGCUUCUGGUUGGGUUGGUUUUAAGUUAUCAGAGCAAUAGAACUUCCCUGACAAGUCAAAGUACCACCUAUUGGAAGAGUGUCAGUGCUACUCAAAAUAUUGCUUGAGAAUUGACGCCAUCUAUGUCACCUGGGAGUUUGUUAAAAAAUGCAGAUUCUUCAGACUCCACCCCAGAUUCCAAAUCCCCAGAAUCCGAAUCUCUGGGGAUGGGGCCUUGAAGAGUGAGUUUUAACAUCUUUCUGGGUGAUUCUGAUGCACGCAAAAGUUUAAGAAGCACUGAUCCACCUAUCCUUUCUGGCUUUUGUCCUUUGAGCCAAGACCCUCAAUUUGGAGGAGGGGCGGCAAUGUUCCCAGUAAAUACCGCAUUUCCCUGCCUCCUCUGCAGCAAAGGGAGGCUGGCUCGGCUGCAAGGCACAGCCCCUUUGCCCAUUGCCCUUCCUUCUGCUUCCUGCCUGAAUUGUGGAUGCGAGGAUCAGUGCUUCAACAGCCAUCUCAGCCCAUGAGGCAGCCUCAGUGAUGGAAACUGCACUAAAAAUCAAGGAGUCUGAAGGCAGAAGGAGCGUGCGCCCAACGAUCAGGCAGAAGGAGCGUGCGCCCAACGAUCAGGCAGAAGGAGCAUGCUCCCAACGAUCAGGCAGAAUGAGCGUGCUCCCAACGAUCGGGCAGAAGGAGCGUGCUCCCAACGAUCGGGCAGAAGGAGCAUGUGCCCAUGAUCAGGCAGAAGGAGAGUGUGCCCAUGAUCAGGCAGAAGGAGUGUGCUCCCAAUGAUCAGGCAGAAGGAGUGUGCUCCCAACGAUCAGGCAGAAAGAGUGUGCUCCCAACGAUCAGGCAGAAGGAGUGUGCUCCCAUGAUCAGGCAGAAGGAGUGUGCUCCCAUGAUCAGGCAGAAGGAGUGUGCUCCCAUGAUCAAAGGCAGCCACUCCAGCCCUGGCUUUCCUUCCUCCAGAUUCCCUUCACAUGAGAGUAAAACAAACCUUUAACUUACUAUAAACUUAUUAUAAAUCGGUUUCUUUGAAUUUGCAGUCAUAUGCCAUCCAACAUAAUCCCAGGUCAGUUAGCACAGAUGCCCCCUAGAAAAGCCAGAUGUGGAAGUGGAGACACCUUUCCCAGGGCUACGGGGAUUCUUACCCCACUCACCAAUGUCCCUCUUGCAUUCCUGGCCCCUAUCUCUUCUUCCAUGUAACCCUUUCUGUAAAACUGAUUAGGUAAAAAUCGAUUAGGUCUGUAGAAAAUGGGCAAGUGCAUC